UACGGGGGGAGCAAGCGUUGUUCGGAUUUACUGGGCGUAAAGGGCGCGUAGGCGGUCGUGACAAGUCACUUGUGAAAUCUCCGGGCUUAACUCGGAACGGUCAAGUGAUAUUGUCGGACUAGAGUACAGAAGGGGCAACUGGAAUUCCGCGUGUAGUGGUGAAAUGCGUAGAGAUGCGGAGGAACACCAGUGGCGAAAGCGACUUUCUGGUCCUUAACUGACGCUGAGGCGCGAAAGCAUGGGGAGCGAACGGG
rnacentral:rRNA from 1 species